rnacentral:rRNA from 1 species
AUGGCCUCCUCGGACGCCAACUCGGCCACGAGCGGCGGCGCCUCGGCGUCCGCGAACCCCGUCCUGGAGGACUUCUUCGACCAACUAGAUCUGAACGAUGAGGAAUUCAACGAUGUGGGAAUUGAUGAGGAGGAUCCGGUGAUCCAAGAAAGCGUGCGGUGGUUAGCCCUUGCUAGGGUUCAUACCGAAAAGAACUUCUCCCCGGCGGCCUUCUACAAGGAUAUGAGGGCGGCCUGGAAUGCGGCACAAAGGGUGAGAUUUCGCCCUGUUGGCCCCAAUAGAUUCGUAGUCCAGGCCUCAUGCCUGGGUGAUUGGGAGCGGAUGAUGAUGCAUGGGCCAUGGCUAUUUCGAAACAUGGCGGUUCUGUUGUGCCUGUAUGAUGGGUUUACCAAAGCUGAUGAGGUAGUCUUCGAUCAUAUGCCUAUUUGGCUUUAGAUUCACAAGUUGUUGGAUCCCUAUUGCAAGCAGGAGAUUGUGGGCAAGCUGUUGAAAGGCGGGUGCAAAAUCCUGGAGAUGAGGCUGAACGGCAAUACCCGCGGUGACUACAUUAGGGUUAGGGUGGAGCAUGACAUAAAACUCCCCCUCACCAAGUUUGUGAGCAUUGUUCGAUCUCAAGCAAGACAAGUCUACCUGGUUCGCUAUGAAAAGUUGGCCAGAUUCUGCAAGUUCUGCGGCCUCAUUGGUCAUGAGCACAAGGAGUGCGGCUCUGGGGUGCAUGAUCAGCAGAAGCUCAAGUUCGGAGACUGGCUAUACGCCGACGGCCCUAGUCGUUCCCGUCCCGAACCAAACCCUAGCACGGCUAAUGCCCCUCGGUAG